rnacentral:rRNA from 1 species
AGUGAACGCUGGCGGUAGGCCUAACACAUGCAAGUCGAACGGCAGCACAGGAGAGCUUGCUCUCUGGGUGGCGAGUGGCGGACGGGUGAGGAAUACAUCGGAAUCUACUUUUUCGUGGGGGAUAACGUAGGGAAACUUACGCUAAUACCGCAUACGACCUACGGGUGAAAGCAGGGGAUCUUCGGACCUUGCGCGAGUGAAUGAGCCGAUGUCGGAUUAGCUAGUUGGCGGGGUAAAGGCCCACCAAGGCGACGAUCCGUAGCUGGUCUGAGAGGGAGAUCAGGCACACUGGAGCUGAGGCACGGUCCAGACUCCUACGCGGAGCAGCAGUGGGGAAUAUUGGACAAUGGGCGCAAGGCUGAUUCAGCCAUACCGCGUGGGUGAAGAAGGCCUUCGGGUUGUAAAGCCCUUUUGUUGGGAAAGAAAUCCAGCUGGUUAAUACCCGGUUGGGAUGACGGUACCCAAAGAAUAAGCACCGGCUAACUUCGUGCCAGCCGCCGCCGUAA